rnacentral:rRNA from 1 species
UACGAAGGGGGCGAGCGUUGUUCGGAAUCACUGGGCGUAAAGCGUGCGUAGGCGGUCUUGUAAGUUGGGAGUGAAAUCCCGGGGCUCAACCUCGGAAUUGCUCUCAAAACUACAAGUCUUGAAAUCGGGAGAGGAUAGCGGAAUUUCCAGUGUAGUAGUGAAAUACGUAGAUAUUGGAAGGAACACCAGUGGCGCAAGCGGCUAUCUGGACCGACAUUGACGCUGAGGCACGAAAGCGUGGGGAUCAAACAGG